UCCUGGCUCAGAACGACGCUGGCGGCGCGUUUUAAGCAUGCAAGUCGAGCGGCAAGGGCCUUCGGGCCCCUAGAGCGGCGGACGGGUGAGUAACACGUGGACAAUCUGCCCCCCGGACGGGAUAGCCCAGGGAAACCUGGAUUAAUACCGGAUGAGACGGGACCUGCGAUGGCGGGAUCCGGGAAAGGCGCUACGGCGCCGCCGGGGGAUGAGUCUGCGUCCCAUUAGCUAGACGGCGGGUAACGGCCCACCGUGGCGACGAUGGGUAGCCGGCCUGAGAGGGUGGACGGCCACAUUGGAACUGAGACACGGUCCAGACUCCUACGGGAGGCAGCAGCUAAGAAUCUUCCGCAAUGGGCGAAAGCCUGACGGAGCGACGCCCGCGUGAAACGAAGAAGGCCGUGAGGUUGUAAAGUUCUUUUCGGGAGGGGGAACAACCGUGGCAGGGAAUGGCCGCGGGAUGACGUGAAUCCCGGAAUAAGCCCCGGCUAACUACGUGCCAGCCGCUGC
rnacentral:rRNA from 1 species